rnacentral:rRNA from 1 species
UACGGAGGGUGCGAGCGUUGUCCGGAAUCAUUGGGCGUAAAGCGCGCGUAGGCGGCCCGGUAAGUCCGUUGUGAAAGUCAAAGGCUCAACCUUUGAAAGCCGAUGGAUACUGCCGGGCUGGAGUCCGGAAGAGGCGAGUGGAAUUCCUGGUGUAGCGGUGGAAUGCGCAGAUAUCAGGAGGAACACCAAUAGCGAAGGCAGCUCGCUGGGACGGUACUGACGCUGAGGCGCGAAAGCGUGGGGAGCGAACAGG